rnacentral:rRNA from 1 species
AUGACGAGACCCAAGCGAGCAGGAGGCAUUGGUUUCAGAGAUAGGCACCUAUUUAACUUACCCCUUCUUGCUAAACAAGGGUGGAGACUGCUGCAGAACCUGGACAGCCUGUGUGCAAGGGUAAUUAAAUCUAAGUACUACCCACACGGGAAUUUGAUUGACACUGUCUUUGCAGCGGAUGCGUCUCCAGUCUGGAGGGGUAUA